rnacentral:lncRNA from 1 species
UCUGUUAGGAUUUUACAUCUCCCAUCUCCCAGGAACAAUGAUCAAUUCAGAUUUGCAAACUAGAAAAGAAAGCACAGCAAUGACAGAACAUAAAACCAGGAAAGAAUCAAGAUUAUGGACACAAGAACAUCAUGUUUUGGAACAAUUUUCAUCAACCACUUUCAGGGAAUUUACCCCAGUCAAUCUGCCAUAAAAGAGAAGAAAUUACAUAGUGUUUAUUACACAAAACACUACCACUCACCACUCAACCGGGAAUACACCAGAAACUUCACACAGAAAAUUCUCACAGAAAGUUGCAAGGAUUGCCUACAGAGAACUUUCUCUCAAUCUUACUUUCUUUCUCACACUACAGAAUAUCCCCCUCUAGCUCAC